AAAAGCUCAAAUUUGAAAUCUGGCACUUUCAGUGUCCGAGUUGUAAUUUGAAGAAGGUAUCUUUGGGUCUGGCUCUUGUCUAUGUUUCUUGGAACAGAACGUCACAGAGGGUGAGAAUCCCGUGCGAUGAGAUGACCCAGACCUAUGUAAAGUUCCUUCGAAGAGUCGAGUUGUUUGGGAAUGCAGCUCUAAGUGGGUGGUAAAUUCCAUCUAAAGCUAAAUAUUGGCGAGAGACCGAUAGCGAACAAGUACAGUGAUGGAAAGAUGAAAAGAACUUUGAAAAGAGAGUGAAAAAGUACGUGAAAUUGUUGAAAGGGAAGGGCUUGAGAUCAGACUUGGUAUUUUGCAUGUUACUCUCUCGGGGGUGGCCGCUGCAGUUUACCGGGCCAGCAUCAGUUUGGGCGGUAGGAUAAUUGCAGAGAAAUGUGGCACUGCCUCGGUAGUGUGUUAUAGUCUUUGUCGAUACUGCCAGCCUAGACUGAGGACUGCGGCUUCGGCCUAGGAUGUUGGCAUAAUGAUCUUAAGUCGCCC
rnacentral:rRNA from 1 species